CCGCCGGUGAGCCCGGCUUCUGGCUUCUGGAUCGGGGGCUGAGAAGGCCUCUUUGGCUUUUUCCGAGUACCUGCCCCUUGUAGAGGGCAAAAGUUGAGAAAAUGAUAAUUGUUUAUUGAAGGCCUGCAGUGAGUCAGGAACUGCGUCAAGCAAGAGUUUCCUUGCCAUUCCUCAUUUCGUCCUCGUGUCGGCUCUUCGUACAGUGUCCUACGAGGGAGUCGCUAUCAUACCCGUUUUACAGAGGGGAAAACUAAGGCGCAAAGAAAUACCUUGUUCAAAGUCGCAGCUCACGGCCUAAACCCGACGGAGCGGCCCUCUGAACCUUCCCAGACCCGCCGCCCACACUGAGCCGACCAGUCUCCUCAGUCUGAUGCAGCCCCCUGGACUUGGACAUUCCCUUGCUGCAUUGUUUAGAAUUACAGAGAAGAAUGGAGAUGGAGAUUUGCUGAGAACACCUGCAAAAACUCUGCCUCCCACACUCUAGCUUGGAAACAAAAUGGUGCUACAAAGAUAGAAAUUUCAGGUACAACCUCAAGGACCUCAUCCAGCUGGCUUUACGUGCUUCAAAAUAGCUUUCUCUACUUCCUCGACUGAGGACAGUCUCUAUCCUGAUUACAAAUGGAAUCUUACCAUUUCCCUGGGCUAGAGAGCUCCAGGUGGUGAAGGGGGAAGCAGGUCUCUAAGGAGUGAGCAGAGAGAACCACCACCAGCCUUAUUCUUCACAAACCACGUUCAAGCCUGUAGUCAAUGGGGCUGACCAGAGCAAAGAGCCAAAGUUGGCCGUGAAAGCCUGACCCCUGUACUGUGACUCAUCCAGAGACACAAAAUGGAUGUGUAAUCCUUCCAUUUCCCCUCUCCCCAUCUUAGGCCUAGUGGCUGUUGAUGAAAACCAGGUGGUAAGUUGGCCAAAUAAGGUCUACCUGUUGCGCUCUCCUUUGCAGAGCCCCAGGUAUCUAUCAGUUGUAGAUAUUAAAUAGAACCUUUAAUACGUACAGAUGUACAGUCUCCCAGAGAACAAGAAGGGAAAUUCUUGUGACGCAGUCACACUUGGGAGCCUGCCAGUGGUAUGAGGUGGCUGAGGCUGCUCCUCUGCCACGGCCUGCCUUCCCUGGGCCUGGCCUCAUCAGCACUUGUUUUUUCUUGGGAAGGAGGGAGAGAGUAGCCCCAGGGGUAAGAACAGAGUCUUGGGGAGCUCCAGGGCUGGCACAGAUGAGCGCAGACCCAGAAAGGAAUCAGCCAGUCAGCAACAGAUGGGAGGCUGAAAUCAGAGUAGAAAACAAAAGGUUGAAGUGGACACGACCCCCCAAGAGUUAAAGAAGGGAUGGACGUAAAGAUAUACAUGUUUGUCUGGAUUCGCAUGCGCAGAAAACAGCCUGGUGAGAAAAUUACCCAGUCUCUGAAUUCACUUAUUUAAUAAUAAUAAUUCAGAAGAAGCAAUCUCAGCUGUAGACCAAGUCAUCUAGUUUCAGAACAUUCAUCCCUCGAAAAAAAGUGCAUCCCUCUGGCAGUCAGUGGUAUAGAUAUGAGCUCUCCCUUUCACUCAUACACUCAUGCACAGGCCUCUGUGACUCCAGCUUGGCUGACACAGCCACCUUAGAAUAACCCCUAAACGCAGGAUUUCUGUUCUCGGGAGUCACCAUAUCCAAUGUUACUCUAAGCAACAGAGAGUAAAGGAUAUAAGAUUAUUGUAUUAAUUUGCCUAGAACCAAUUCACCUAGAGACAGUCUAAAAUAUUUAUCAAAUCUGCAGCAUUUCAAAAGGAUUUAGUAGAUUCACCCUUUCACUUUUUAUCAUUCUGGUCUAUGUAAACUUUUUUAGCCAACUGAAUAUGCCCCAUGCUUGUUCAUUUGUUCAUUAGAAUACAUUGGCAUUUUUAACUGCAGGAAUGUAGAAGUUAGACCAAAGCAUCAAAAUCAUGAGCUCCAUUACAUUAUCCAAGGCACCUAAUUUGUAAAGGAAUAUUUGAUUAAGAAACACAAAAAAUGAUACACGAAAUAUCUGUACC